GGCAAGAUGGCCGAGCGGUCUAAGGCGCUAGCUUCAGGUGCUAGUCAAGCAAUUGGCGUGGGUUCGAAUCCCACUCUUGUCA
rnacentral:tRNA from 2 species